rnacentral:rRNA from 1 species
UACGUAGGGGGCAAGCGUUGUCCGGAUUUAUUGGGCGUAAAGAGCGUGUAGGCGGCCAGGUAGGUCCGUUGUGAAAACUCGAGGCUCAACCUCGAGCUGUCGAUGGAAACCAUCUGGCUAGAGUCCGGAAGAGGAGAGUGGAAUUCCCGGUGUAGCGGUGAAAUGCGCAGAUAUCGGGAAGAACACCCGUGGCGAAGGCGGCUCUCUGGGACGGUACUGACGCUGAGACGCGAAAGCGUGGGGAGCGAACAGGA